rnacentral:tRNA from 1 species
AUUUGAAUAGCUUAAAUAUAGAGCAUAGCAUUGAAGAUGCUGAGGUGAUAUUUAUAUCUUCAAAUA